UAAGAAAAAAGCAAAAUAUACAAUCUCUCGUUUAUUGCUACCUAUAUUAGCUAAAAUGAAAGUAAAUGAGAGUGCUGGGUGGACCUUGAGGCUGGGCCAGGGUCAGAUUUGGGUUGGCCUGAGCUCAGCCACUAGUUUCAGGGCCACCUCCCAAGAGAAGAAAUACGAGGGGACAAAAAGAGUCCUUCUAAGACCUAUGGUCACCAAGAAAGGUAGUUAGUGUGGAUGGCGGGAAAAAAAAAAACAGUAACUACAGAGAUCAGGAGGUACAGAGCACGGAACUGACUCAUUUUGUGAAUCAGUAUCAUCAGCUUCUUGAUGAGCCUUUACCAAGCUGAAUUCUGAGAAUAACUAAUUUAGGGGCAGUGUCUUUGCUUUUGAAUACCGCAGAGUGGAAGAGCGUGCAUGGGUUGAUACAAGACCCACAGCUCACUAGGGAACAAUCACAGAUAGCUGUACGUGAUUCAGACACACAGGCUGAAUCUUCCCAAGGGAAGAGCCAGCUUGGAGGACUGGAUAAAAGCCACUAUAAGACCUAAUUAACUGGAAAAGGGGGCUUGCCCCACUCCCCCUAUAAAUGCCAAGUGGAGCACCACAGCUGACAUGCUUCAAAUGCAAGCCAUGUGGGAUUGGCUUACGACUGGGAUACUCGCCCGCUGAAUACGCCCGUAACCCAUGUCAUGGUAAAUGCUGUGGUUCAGGGGGCUCCUUUGAUGUGGAUGCCCCGUAUGACCUCGAUAUUGAAAAUGGAGGGAAAGUUCCGGAAGCCUUAUCAAAUUUGCUGUUUCAGCUUCCUCAAAUGGGUCUUACAGGUGCUAAUAAAAAUACUGGGUUAAUUAAUAAGUGAAUGAGGAAAGGCAGAGGGGAGAGUCAGGGACACCUUGAUAAGGGAGCCCCACGCACUAUGGUACCAGUGCUUGUUGGCGAAGCUUAACCCAGUGGCAAUUAUACUGAGAGAAGACAGAAAUGUAAGGAUUGGGAGGAUUACGGUGAAAGAUUGCAUGAUCAUUGGAGUGUUAAACAGGCUUUAUGUGAAGAGGGUGUGUCUCUUCCUGAAUGUUUGAUGGGAGUGAAUAUCAUGUCUGACUGUGGAAUGCCUCCUCUACCUAGUAUUGUAAAACCAAAAACUGUUGGGGAGGUCCUAAUGAAGGCUUCACUUAGGAAGAUCAGGAUUGAUGAGAUUAAGGUGACAGCAAGAGGAAAAAUUGGUAUGUCUGAAGUUGCUGUAUCUCUUUUACCUGAACGUCCUAUGGAGAUGGACUGGGAUCUCACUGGGGAACUGCUGCUAUAAAACAAAAGGCAUUACAUUUGCUUUUCAAGCAGUAUUCAUUGGACACGCUAUGUGGGGAGCAGAAAGAUUGCCUGAGCCCACACAGUGCAGAGGAGACGCUGGAGUGCUGGGAGGGACGGACUCAUGGUGGGAUAGCCCUGUGUAGAGUGGAAAGUGGGGCUAAUGGAGAAAACCCGGAGAGGAAUCCCAGCCACAUCCACUGGGCUUUGGACCAGUGAAUUUCCACUUGAGGGCAUUUACUAGCUUUCUAUCAGGCAUUAAUGGAGCCACCCCUAUGACAAAAGGACAUAAAAUAAUCUUGAAACUGAAAAUACCCACAAUGUCCUAUGUGAUGUUGGAGAAGCAUUCUAGUGGGGACGGCCGUGCUCAGGGGAGCUCCAUAAUAAGAUGAAAGCGGUUUCUACAGGAUCAUGCUGCCUGGGGCACAAAGAAGCAGAAAUUCAUAAAUAGGGAGAACAGGGAGCCUCUUUUCCCCCAGGACUGACUCAGAAAUCACAUUAGGAGCUGACAGAUUCUAUUAUCACAUGAACAGUGCUCUAUAAACUGCUCUCGACUGACCAACAAAGAGCUGCAUGAUGUGUUGAUGACAGUUCCAAGGUGAACAGACUGUCUGUUAGGAAACAUGCCCCUCUGAUUGAAGAAGGCAAAAACAAAUCAGCUCAGUGGGUUGAAUUUCUAGCAGUGAUGGAAGAGUUGAGGAGUGAUGGAGUUAUAAGACAAUGAUGCUUUACACACGCUCCCUCCUCCCGCCUUCUCUGUCAUCCGGCCUGUGCUCAUCAAACUAAUGUGGACGUGAAUCACCUGGGGACAUCAUUGAAUGAAGGUUUUGAUUCAACAGCUCAGGGUAGAGACAGGGUUUCACCAUGUUGGCCAGGCUGGU